rnacentral:rRNA from 1 species
AUUGAACGCUGGCGGCAGGCCUAACACAUGCAAGUCGGACGGUAGCACAGAGGAGCUUGCUCCUCGGGUGACGAGUGGCGGACGGGUGAGUAAUGUCUGGGGAUCUGCCCGAUAGAGGGGGAUAACCACUGGAAACGGUGGCUAAUACCGCAUAACGUCGCAAGACCAAAGAGGGGGACCUUCGGGCCUCUCACUAUCGGAUGAACCCAGAUGGGAUUAGCUAGUAGGCGGGGUAACGGCCCACCUAGGCGACGAUCCCUAGCUGGUCUGAGGGGAUGACCAGCCACACUGGAACUGGGACACGGACCAGACUCCUACGGGAGGCAGCAGUGGGGAAUAUUGCACAAUGGGCGCAAGCCUGAUGCAGCCAUGCCGCGUGUAUGAAGAAGGCCUUCGGGUUGUAAAGUACUUUCAGCGGGGAGGAAGGCGAUGUGGUUAAUAUCCGCAUUGAUUGACGUUACCCGCAGAAGAAGCACCGGCUAACUCCGUGCCAGCCGCCGCCGUAA